GAGUUUGAUCAUGGCUCAGAUUGAACGCUGGCGGCAUGCCUUACACAUGCAAGUCGAACGGCAGCAUGAUCUAGCUUGCUAGAUUGAUGGCGAGUGGCGAACGGGUGAGUAAUACAUCGGAACGUGCCCUGUAGUGGGUGAUAACUAGUCGAAAGAUUAGCUAAUACCGCAUACGACCUGAGGGUGAAAGUGGGGGACCGCAAGGCCUCAUGCUAUAGGAGCGGCCGAUGUCUGAUUAGCUAGUUGGUGGGGUAAAGGCCCACCAAGGCGACGAUCAGUAGCUGGUCUGAGAGGACGAUCAGCCACACUGGGACUGAGACACGGCCCAGACUCCUACGGGAGGCAGCAGUGGGGAAUUUUGGACAAUGGGCGAAAGCCUGAUCCAGCAAUGCCGCGUGUGUGAGAAGGCCU
rnacentral:rRNA from 1 species